CCUACGGGAGGCAGCAGUGGGGGAUAUUGCACAAUGGGGGGAACCCUGAUGCAGCGACGCCGCGUGGGUGAAGGAGUGCUUCGGCAUGUAAAGCCCUAUCGGCAAGGCAGAAAAUGACAGUACCUGACCAAGAAGCUCCGGCUAACUACGUGCCAGCAGCCGCGGUAAUAAGUAGGGGGCAAGCGUUAUCCGGAUUUACUGGGUGUAAAGAGAGCGUAGACGGUUAUGUAAGUCUGGAGUGAAAGCCCGGGGCCCAACCCCGGGACUGCUUUGGAAACUGUGUGACUGGAGUACAGGAGGGGCAGGCGGAAUUCGUGGUGUAGCGGUGAAAUGCGUAGAUAUCAGGAGGAACACCGGCGGCGAAGGCGGCUUGCUGAACUGAAACUGACGUUGAGGCUCGAAAGCGUGGGGAGCAAACAGGAUUAGAUACCCGAGUAGUC
rnacentral:rRNA from 1 species